GAUGAACGCUGGCGGCGUGCUUAACACAUGCAAGUCGAACGAGAAGUGAAGACGGAAACCUUCGGGCGGAAGGCUUUAUUUCGAGUGGCGGACGGGUGAGUAACGCGUGGGUAACCUGCCUCAUACAGGGGGAUAACAGUUGGAAACGACUGUUAAUACCGCAUAAGACCACAGCACCGCAUGGUGCGGGGGUAAAAACUCCGGUGGUAUGAGAUGGACCCGCGUUCGAUUAGCCAGUUGGCGGGGUAACGGCCCACCAAAGCGACGAUCGAUAGCCGAUCUGAGAGGAUGACCGGCCACAUUGGGACUGAGACACGGCCCAAACUCCUACGGGAGGCAGCAGUGGGGAAUAUUGCACAAUGGGGGAAACCCUGAUGCAGCGACGCCGCGUAAGUGAAGAAGUAUUUCGGUAUGUAAAGCUCUAUCAGCAGGGAAGAAAAUGACGGUACCUGAGGAAGAAGCCCCGGCUAACUACGUG
rnacentral:rRNA from 1 species